rnacentral:rRNA from 1 species
AGUGAACGCUGGCGGCGUGCUUAACACAUGCAAGUCGAACGAGAACGGAUUAUAGCUUGCUAUAAUUGUCAGCUAAGUGGCGCACGGGUGAGUAAUGUAUAGGUAAUAUGCCUCUUACUAAGGGAUAACAAAUGGAAACGUUUGCUAAUACCUUAUACUCCUUAUUAACCUAGGUUAAUAAGGGAAAGAUUUAUUGGUAAGAGAUUAGCCUGUAUUGUAUCAGUUAGUUGGUGGGGUAAUGGCUUACCAAGACUAUGACACAUAACUGGUUUGAGAGGAAGAUCAGUCACACUGGAACUGAGACACGGUCCAGACUCCUACGGGAGGCAGCAGUGGGGAAUAUUGCACAAUGGACGAAAGUCUGAUGCAGCAACGCCGCGUGGAGGAUGACACAUUUCGGUGCGUAAACUCCUUUUAUAUGAGAAGAUAAUGACGGUAUUAUAUGAAUAAGCACCGGCUAACUCCGUGCCAGCAGCCGCAGUAAGAC